rnacentral:lncRNA from 1 species
AAAUAUAUAUAAUGUUCCAAAUACAUACAUAAACUGAGGUUAGAAGUGGCUACAAAAUACAAAACAUAAUGGUCACUUCUUUCAUUAUGCUAUUGGAUUCAUCAGAGUGUGAGAACAGUCAUACACUCAGACUUAUGGAUCCACGGGAUCCUCAUAGACUUCUAAGGGUAGGUCUGCCUGCAGUUCCUCAUUUUCUUCCUCCUCUGAGGGGGCAUGGAAAUAGUGAGUUCCUUAUGCUCAGUAAGGAAAAUAGUAUUAAAUUAACAUCGU